rnacentral:tRNA from 1 species
GCCUUCGUGGUGUAGUGGUCAGCACGCUGGGCGCGUAUUCCAGAGGUCCGUGGUUCGAGUCUCAGCGAAGGCG